rnacentral:rRNA from 1 species
UUCGUAGGUGGCUUGCUAAGUCAGACGUGAAAUCCCUCAGCUUAACUGGGGAACUGCGUCUGAUACUGGCGAGCUUGAGUGCAGGAGAGGAACGCAGAAUUCCAGGUGUAGCGGUGAAAUGCGUAGAUAUCUGGAGGAAUACCGGUGGCGAAGGCGGCGUUCUGGACUGCAACUGACACUGAUGAACGAAAGCCGAGGGGAGACAAACG